UGGGCCGGCUUCCUCGCGGGGAGGUCAGUGGAGGCAGAAUCGGUCUCUUCGGGUAGCAACGGCACCGGCACCCUCAGCACUUUGGCGUGGGUUGUUCCUUGACCCGGAGAAGACCAGGGGAGCCCCCGGUGAGGGGAAGGUAUUUCAGGCCCUGGACUGCUUUGUAGGAACACUGCCACAUCUCCCACGAUGCCUGUGGAGGAACCUGACAGACCAUCUUCAUGUGGGAUAAAUGCGACCAGCUGGAAUGUCCAGAUGGAAUUUAUAUAGGUACCAGCUUAUGAUUGAUCCUCCUGAGAAUACGGCUGAAGCCUGGAAGACUUCAGGGUACCCAGGGUACACCAGACGACCUGGGUGACUCCUUCAGGUCAGCUGGAGACCCUGAUGCUGGUGUUGAUGGAGCUCAGAUUGAAAAAGAUGCUCAGGUAUGUCCAACUUAAAGAACUCGGGUGUGUGGAAGCUGAAAGGGGCCCAGACUCUGAAGAAGUGUCUUCUUUUUACUGUCUGGGUCCCCCGCCCCCCACUUUCUGGUUGAAGCUAUAUAAAAUUAUAGAUUGGACAGAAUAAAUAUCUAAAUUUUAGAAAAGGCAAAAUACAUAUAUUUGGGUUUAAAAUCUAGUAGGAGCACAAGUUCUGGUCAGAAACCCAAAACUCCUCACUUAAAAAAAAUAAAAAUGAGGUGACCUUGACUUUAACUUUGCAACUGAUGCUGCUCUGGCCACACCUGCUUGGCUAGCAUCUUUUUUUUAAAGAUUUAUUUAUUUAUGCAUACAGAACUGGGGUAGAGGCCAUAGGUAUACAGGGGUGUAAGAGUAUUCAACAGAGACAGAGUGGGGAGCAGAACAGGCAGAUAGACAAA